GAACCUUUAAAUUCCUACCAUGGCCUGUUGUAAUAUUCUGGCAUAUUUAUGGGAAUUAGGUUGGAGAUUUGGGUUAUGCUUCAGAACUUGGAAAUUAUGCAGAGUAUAGUGGAGCUCCAAAUGAGGAAGAGGUGUUGCAAUAUGCAAGAGUUGUGGUCGAUUGUGCAACAGCUGAUCCAGAUGGUCGUAAAAGAGCUCUAAUAAUUGGAGGUGGUAUAGCUAAUUUCACAGACGUAGCUGCUACAUUCAGUGGAAUUAUUAGGGCCCUAAGGGAGAAGGAAUCCAAGCUAAAAGCGGCAAGAAUGCAUAUAUUUGUGAGAAGGGGCGGUCCAAAUUAUCAAACUGGUUUGGCAAAGAUGCGUGCUUUGGGGGAAGAACUCGGAGUUCCUCUUGAGGUUUAUGGCCCUGAGGCAACAAUGACCGGAAUUUGCAAGCAAGCAAUUGAGUGCAUCGUGGAUGAAGCUUAAGAGUUUCUUGGUUCUUUGUAUUAUUUUUCAACCCUCGAAGUGUGUGUUAUGAUUUGGCCAAAAAGGCAAAAAGUGUGAAUUGAGUUUAUCCUGGCAAGAUGAGCCGCAUAAUUUCUUCAGUUUUCCAAUCUUUUCAACUAUUGUGACUUAUUUGUGAUGA